AUGCCACUCUAGUUUUUAGGUUAACUUAUAACCUAUUCGUUCUUACUUCGACUAGCGUACACGUAUGAUUACAUUUAGGCAAGUAUUGGAAUUGAACUUGAUUGAUAAGGUGUAGAUGCUCGUGGGGGGCCUGGCAGCAUCGCAUUAAAGUCAAACACUUCAAGUGCAAUUUGUGCAGUUAUUAACUUGCACUGGAUGGUUAGAAAGUGCACUAACUACGUUAGACUCUGCAGCACGACUGGUGGAAGGUUGCGGUUCGAGAUUGGUUGACUUGAUUCUGCAAUGUAGCUCUCCGCAAUGCUUGUCGAUUGCCACCCUCCAUGACGCUUCAGGGCACUGAUGUCUGCACCUGCAUUCAUAAGCAAGGUAGCAGACGUUCUUCGCAAACAAUGCCCGGUAUAAAGCUUCAGAUCCGGCAAUCCCAAAUAAGUGGCAACUUCUUGCGCUGUUGAUGUGAGCUUAUGUAUACCGACAACUUGCCUGUGACAUUUGCCAUUUUGGUAUUUAAUGAAGAAACGAUUUGUGUUCAUAUCUGCGGGACGUAAUGAUGCAUAUUUUCUAUAGAAAUUUAAAUAUUGUUCCCCGGUAAUUGUGAAUGAGCGCGGUUUUUUUGUUUUAGUAUUGGGUACUUUUACUAAUAAAGCACCCUCUAAGUCGGUGAUGUCUGACGUCUUCAUUUGUGACAAUUCAUCACGGCGUAAUGCACCUGCGACACCAAAUAUGAGACAAACCUAAAAAUAUUUCAAUUUGAGAACUACAAAGGGAACUUUGUGAAUUGUGAUUUUACCUUAGUCAUUAAAUAUUUGAAAUCAGGUGCUUCAGUUAAAAAUGACUGCACUUGUUCCAUCGUCAACGUUUUUGAUUUUUUCGGCUGAUAACCGUGUGACUUGUUUUUCAGGUAAGGCACAAGUUUGGGAUAUUUGCGGAUAUCGACACCAUGCUUGACAUUUAACGUUGCUUUCAACAUGGAGUAAUGACUCCAAAGAGUUGACGGCUUGAUUUUAGUCGCUAAAUCGGCAAGAUACGCAAUAAUUACAUUUUCCGAAAAUGAAUUAGCUUUAUUGUUAUUGCGCCAUGUCAUAAAGCGUGUAUAUGAAUUUUCAUACACCUCUCGCGACUUUGUAGGGAGCAAAUCUAAAGUCGCAUGUUCUGCCGUUUCCAUAAUUUCUGGCGGAGUGCAAUCCAUGUCGCAAUCAGUUUCAGUCAUUUCUA